rnacentral:lncRNA from 1 species
AAACCCAAUCAGUUCUGACCUCUGCAACUCUAACAGUUCAUACCUUUGGCUUGUUAUGUUAUAAUGCUGACUAUGACUCUGUGCAUGUCUGUGUGCUACUAUGACAUUUCUCCUUCAACUCCACAGCUGGAUGAUUUGACAGAUUAUUAAGAAAGGCUUUUGAGUUUGCAGAGGAUUCAAGGACAAGAUGAAGGGAUGUAUGACGCCAGGACAAAGACUGUGACUACUCUGGCACAGCAGUAGCAAACUUUGACAGUGAUCCAGGAAGUUGAACAAUUACUUAAGGUGAAGCAUAUCACUGGUGCAGCUAUCAACGGAGCCAUCCACAUUUUUUCAACAACAAAAAAUAUGAAGCCAUUUCCAGUCAGUUCCCUCCUGUCCUGCAUUUGUGGCCCAGUCUUUCCUCUGUUUAAGUCAAUCAGGACGUAUUCAUUGACUUAAACUGGAGCAGAUGAAGUUCUUCAACUUGCACAGGCUAAGAAGCCGGAGAGCUGAAUGUUUUCUACGAGCCAAGAGGAUUCAGUUGCAUCCCAUUUACAGGAUGAAUAGGAUUCAGUUUCAUCCGAAAGGAGCCUGGGUCAUCCAGACCGCACAGCAGUGAGAACAAAAGCACAGAAAAUGGGAACCAUUGGGAGACUGGCCUCUAAAGCACCUACAACCCUGACUACAUCUGUGAUGGCGACAAGCUCCCAGUGGGUCACAAUAAAUACCCAGUGGCAAUGGAGACAAGUGGGUGGAGUAUAAGAGUGCCUGGAGUUAACAUAAUGAAACUGAAUCCUUUUCUUGAACAAGAAGUGAAAUAAACUUUAAAUCAAAGUCUCCAUUAAGGCCCCUUCUGCAAGAUGCUACUUUCAGUUUCUGAUAAUCAUUAUAAAUGGAGCAGAUUGGAAAAACUCAAAUGGAUCCAAUAUGAAAAGCCUCGCUGCCUCCAGUCACUGCAGGGGGAGAGGAAUGCAGCCCCACUUACCUCCAAACUCAUUUUGGUCUUCCUACACCCCGACAGUAAAAUACAUGUGGAAAACCAGAAAUGCUGUGAGGUGAUGACAAUUACCUGAAGAUAUGAAGAUGAGCAGUGAACAGACCAGAGAAGAGAAGUCAGGUGUGGAUGGCCAGGCCACACCAUACUUCUGUACUCAUUAAGAAAAUAAAUAAACUCUUAGUUGGAUACAUUAAAAAAGAGUUGGUGGUUUCCAGCUGCAACUCACUUUAGUUCUUUAAAAUUAUCCUUGCGUUUCUGUUUAAGAAUUUACCUUGAGGAGGGAUGGGAAUCUGCUGCAUGCUACCAUCUGUCUUUCCUUAGAAAUACAGCACAAUAAAAGUGAGAUUGUCUUGUCUCUUUUAUAAGGUUAGUAAGAAAGCUUUGAUUGCUUCUUCUCUUAUUCACUAGAAAUUUAUAGUAAGAUGUUAUAUUUUCCUUUUGUCUGUUUGCCACAACAUCUGAGCUGUGUGUGAAAGACUGUGCCCUGUGGAUGAGAAGGUGCUUCACAGAGAGCAGCUUCAGUGAGCCAACUUAUUCACCAUGGUUCAAAGAUGGAAACUCCCCUCCAUUCUCAGAAUUUUGGUGCUUUUUGUUAUAUUCUGGGAUACUGUUGUGGUUAUAGCUUACUUCUGCCCCUUCUCCUGAAAUGCCCAAAUUUCUGUGAUGUGAGUUUUGUUCUACUUUUAGGAUGCCAAGUGGAAGAUUAUUCUAUUUCACUUUUGAGUCCUUUCCUGUUAUUACCUCAAACAUCGACAACAAAUUUUUCAGCCUUUCCCUUUUCUGAAGCAGUGGUGACAAAGUUCCUCUUUCUUUCCCCUUCUUCUUUUUCUUUUAAAACACAAAGAAACAAAACAUUCUCCAGAUGUUUUGUGAUCUAAUCCCUUAUUAACUUUGGAAAGAUCCUUUCUACCACAGGGAUCAGAUUCAUUAAUCUAUGGCUUCCUGACUCCUCUCCUACAGUAUUUCCAGGAAUGCAGAUACCUAUUUUGGCAUGGAAUCUGUAUUCCAUGAGCACAAACCUUCAAAUAUAUCUAUUUAC